UGCGUAGGCGGGCUAAUAAGUCAGUGGUGAAAUAUUCCGGCUCAACCGGGAGACUGCCAUUGAUACUGUUAGUCUUGAGUUCGGCUGAGGUAGGCGGAAUGUGUAAUGUAGCGGUGAAAUGCUUAGAUAUUACACAGAACACCAAUUGCGUAGGCAGCUUACUAGACCGACACUGACGCUGAGGCACGAAAGCGUGGGGAGCGAACAGGAUUAAUACCCUGGUAGUCC
rnacentral:rRNA from 1 species